rnacentral:rRNA from 1 species
UGUGUAGGCGGUUGGAUAAGUGUGGUGUGAAAUCUCCCGGCUCAACUGGGAGGGUGCGCUACAAACUGUCUGACUAGAGUGCGGGAUGGGAAAGUGGAAUUCCUGGUGUAGCGGUGAAAUGCGUAGAUAUCAGGAGGAACACCGGUGGUGUAGACGGCUUUCUGGACCGUAACUGACGCUGAGACACGAAAGCGUGGGUAGCAAACAGGAUUAGAUACCCUGGUAGUCCACGCCCUAAACGAUGCAUAUUUGGUGUGGGUCAUUCAUUUGAUCCGUGCCGGAGCUAACGCAUUAAAUAUGCCGCCUGGGGAGUACAGUCGCAAGGCUGAA